rnacentral:rRNA from 1 species
CGGAGUUAGCCGGUGCUUAUUCAUAUGGUACCGUCAUUAUCUUCCCAUAUAAAAGGAGUUUACACACCGAAAUGCGUCAUCCUCCACGCGGCGUUGCCGCAUCAGAGUUUCCUCCAUUGUGCAAUAUUCCCCA